AUUGGACGCUGGCGGCAGGCCUAACACAUGCAAGUCGAGCGAAUGAGGGAAGCUUGCUUCCCGAUUUAGCGGCGGACGGGUGAGUAAUGCCUAGGGAUCUGCCUAUUAGUGGGGGAUAACGUUCCGAAAGGAACGCUAAUACCGCAUACGUCCUACGGGAGAAAGUGGGGGAUCUUCGGACCUCACGCUAAUAGAUGAGCCUAGGUCGGAUUAGCUAGUUGGUGAGGUAACGGCUCACCGAGGCGACGAUCCGUAGCUGGUCUGAGAGGAUGAUCAGCCACACUGGAACUGAGACACGGUCCAGACUCCUACGGGAGGCAGCAGUGGGGAAUAUUGGACAAUGGGCGAAAGCCUGAUCCAGCCAUGCCGCGUGUGUGAAGAAGGUCUUCGGAUUGUAAAGCACUUUAAGUUGGGAGGAAGGGUUGUAAGCUAAUAUCUUGCAGCUUUGACGUUACCAACAGAAUAAGCACCGGCUAACUCUGUGCCAGCCGCCGCAGUAAAAC
rnacentral:rRNA from 1 species